CAAACUUGAGAACUUGGCAAACCCCCUUCCCGCCAUGCCUUUCAAUUUGUAUACAGCGAUGGCGAUUCACUGGUUCCUCAUUCACUCUCACAACUUACUUCUUUAAUUUUGAAAAUUUCGCAAAACUCAGAUCCACCAUUCCAAAUCACCGAGCGAACUCGUAGAGUGACCUAAUCCAACGUUUCGAUCUAUCGAUUAGGGAUUUGCUUCGCCUUUCUAGGAAUAGAAACCGUUCGGUUUUGUUCAAAUGAAGAUGAAGCUCAACAAAGCCUGCGAUCUCAGCUCCAUCUCGGUCUUUCCUCCUCAAUCGAGGAAACCUAAUGCUAUACCAACUGGACCACAAGCAUCACAGCUUCGUUCCCAAUCAUCACAGCAAUCAUUUUCACGGGGACUAUCAUCUCAGCAUGGCAUGUUCUCUCAACUAUCUCAAAACUCGCUUGAUGACACUGUGACACUUGAUCAGAGAUUUGGUUCUCAAGAUCGAGAGAACUCAGGGAAGAAGAUGUCUUGCUUGGUCCCGGUAAACUAUGCACGAGAAGAGAGUCAAAUGCCUAGCUUGAGAUCUUCCAACAACCUGAUACGUAAAUGGAAUCCUGCUUCUGUUCAAGAUAAUAAAUGUCAAAUAAGUGAAGAACUUGAACAUCGGAUUGGAAUGAUAGAAACUUCAAUACACAGGUUUGGAAUGAUCUUGGAUUCUGUUCAGGGUGACAUCAUGCAAGUAAAUAAGGGAACAAAAGAAGUAUUGUUGGAGAUGGAAAGUAUUCGGCAGAAGCUGCUCAUUCAUGACACCUCCUUGCAGCUAAUGAAAAAAGGACAAGAAGAUGUUAAAGCUAGCCUUCAAGGGGGAUUCAAAUCUGUAUCUGAUAAACUGAGCAAGGAUGUCUGUCAGGACAAGUUACAGCAAAUUUCCUUGCUGCUUUCGGCUUUUCCAGAGCAAAUAGAAGCUUCUCAUUUAAAAUUACAAACCCAGCUCUGCAACUCCUUCAACAAAGAAAUGCAGGCAGUAGCAUGCAGCCUGAAGAAUCCUGCCUUAAAUGUUCUUCCACCAAAGGAUACUGCCUCCUGUAUCACUCCAUCAAGAAAGCUACAGUCCCUCAGAAAUUCACCUGUGCCUCAAAAAGUUUGUGCGCAUGAAAAUCAAGCUCCAAAAAUAGAAACGGGAGGUUGGAAAUCAGUAAAGUCAGGAAAAGCUACUGUCAAGGAGAAGGCAUCACAUGAUGAGCACAAAAGGAAGGAUGCUUCUCUCAUCAAACAGGAAAGAGAAUGUAGAGUUAUCAUCGAUUCGGAUGAGGAUGUUGAUGGGGGUUUUUCAUGUUUGCUUGAUGAGAAGAAAGCAGAUAUCGAAGAAUAUCUGAAUGAGGAAAAAACAAAGCGAGAGACUGAAAGGAUUUUGAGAAGAGCAAGAAGGCAAAGGAGAAAGUACUGUAAUCCCAUAAUUAUUAAUUGAAGACGAAAGACAAGCGUCUUCAACGGAUCGAGUUCUUUGUCACAGUCUGUCUGUGUUGCAUUAUUAACAAUGUUCAUCAUCUGCAACUGCAAAGCCAACACAUGCCUGCCACCUGACCAUCAUUACAACGGACAUGUUCUUUCCUUGGAUUACAAUCCACUAUUGUGAGCUUAGAAAUUGAAGCAAGGAAUCAUAUACAAAGAUAUGGGGGCCCUCUAAGCACUACCCUUUUCAUUGUAAAGGCUUCUGAUUUUUCAAAGUGCUCCUCACAGGGACAACUCCAAUAACCAAUUGAAAAACUCCUUGUUUAUCAUUAUAAUUGUUAUAUAAUAUUUGCUUAGUGAACAAUGAUUUGAGAGCAAACUUG